rnacentral:rRNA from 1 species
GAUGAACGCUGGCGGCGUGCUUAACACAUGCAAGUCGAACGGAAAGGCCCAAGCUUGCUUGGGUACUCGAGUGGCGAACGGGUGAGUAACACGUGGGUGAUCUGCCCUGCACUUCGGGAUAAGCCUGGGAAACUGGGUCUAAUACCGGAUAGGACCACAUUUUGGAUGGUGUGGUGGAAAGUUUUUCGGUGUGGGAUGAGCUCGCGGCCUAUCAGCUUGUUGGUGGGGUAAUGGCCUACCAAGGCGUCGACGGGUAGCCGGCCUGAGAGGGUGUACGGCCACAUUGGGACUGAGAUACGGCCCAGACUCCGACGGGAGGCAGCAGUGGGGAAGAUUGCACAAGGGGCGCAAGCCUGAUGCAGCGGCGCCGCGUGGGGGAUGACGGCCUUCGGGUUGUAAACUCCUUUCGCUAGGGACGAAGCGUUAUGUGACGGUACCUGGAGAAGAAGCACCGGCUAACUACGUG